GUUAUGCGCUCGUUAGCCUUUGGUUCCCCCGUGCUUUGUCAGUCUGAGUGCUGUGGCUCUGCCUGUGCUCAGACCCGAACUGACAUCUCUAGAUGCUGAAACAGAAUAGAAAGUGACUGCCACUUCCAUGCUUACAUUGACUCAGCACUGCUUGGGUAGGUCUGAAUGCCACUCUUGUUCUUCUUCUGUUGUGUCUUGUGUCACAAGGCUUCAACUUCUGGCUUGCAGAGAGGUUCCUGAUGAAAGAUUCACCAGCAACGCUUUAAUUCUAUAUUUCCUGUAUGCAAAGUAACCAAAAAGCAGCUGAAAUCGUGGUUCUAGCCAGUCCUGAUGCUUGUAAGUGAGCUGCAGUUGAAAGGCAGAUGCUGUUGACUUGCUGAAAGCACAUCUUCCAAUUCACUUUUUAACAUUGAAAGUGUACCAGAUGCUCCCUAGCCAACGUACCUCACGGUUUGUUGUUGUUCUGUUUCAGAGGUUGCUGGAGCUAGCAGGCAAUGUAUAAGAUGUGUUGUACUGUCAGUUUAACCAGUAACAGGGGUGCAAGCUGAACUGGAAGAAUGCGUAUUCAAAGAUAUGCACCUGUGCAAGUAGUUGUUAUAUAUGAAAUGCAGCUGCACAAAGGCAUUUAAUCCUUACUGAAGGGCAGGUAAUCACAGUCUGAUUUACCCAGGGAUUCUGCAGGAUGCGUACCUAGAAAAACCAAGUGUUUGCUUAUAUUGAUACAAAACCAUCGCUGAGUUAUCAACGUACCUGAGAACGGCUCAGUGAGGUCUCGUAACCUGUGCGUAUCUUUAUAUUUUACAUGUUGUCCCUGCUCUUGUUUUCUGAUGAAGGUACCCUUGUAUUCUUAUAUAAGCAGAGUUGCUUUUCAUGUAAAGUAGAAAAGCCAGGUGAAAUUUCCUCUUCAAGUUGAGAUACAGGCUUCAAUUUUCUGCCUCCCUGGUCUAACCACAUACCAGACCAAAGUAAGCGAAGGAAGGCCUUCAUUCCACCUGAUGAAGUUGUUUUAUGUUAGAGGAAUGAAUAAUGUGUUUACAGGGCCAGCAGGGAGAGGAAGAUGUAGACCUUCACUCAACUCUGAAGCGAAUGGUUAGAAGCAGUUAAGGUAGCUGUUGCCUCUAUGGUUUCUGCUGAAUGGCUAUUUAAUGUUAAAAAACAAUGCAUUAAUAGGCCUGAACAGGUCUGAAAUCCAGGUCUCCCAGUUUCCAGAGAAGUCUCCUAAUGGUAUAACUAAAAGUCUAGCUUUUUUUGUACUGCUUAGUGUGGGAGCCCUGCAUCCCUUUCAGGUGUGGUGCACAGCUUUAGCAAGAAGAGUGGAGGGUGUCUCCAUAGCCUUUAACAGGUAAUUAAAGUCCUUUAGUGCGAAAUUUUGGUUUAAGUCUAAACUGCCUUUUCCAAAUAAACAUAUUUUUGUCUAGAUCUUCCUGGGGAUGAAUCAAAGCACUACCUUCAGUGCCGAAGUCCUGUCAGUGCUGAGUGGAUGGAUGCACUGCCAGCCCUUUCUGACCAGACAUAAGAUGAGUAGAAGGGAAAGGAUUUAGAAGUGCUUCCUGUGCUGUAGGAUGGGGUUUUCCAUAACUAAGCAUACCACCAGUGUGGGAUGGAAGACUGUGGUGGUACAGGAUCAAAGCUUUACAGAAUCAAGUCUUCCUCCUUUAGGUGCUGCUUCUUACAGGAGUUCCUACCCAACAAGUGACUUGGCCAUAGCUUGUGAUGUACAAAGCAAUCACGUUUGCAGUGAGCUGUCCUUGCAGUGCUGCCAGCCAGCCAUGCUUAUCUGGAGAUAUGCUUCAGCACAAGUACAUGGGGAGAAAGAAACUGUUGAAAAAGUGAAGCAGUGGCAGCCUUGUUUUGCUUGUUGAGGAAUGUAAUCAGAAAAGGAGAGUGAAAGAUGUGUGGUGGCUCAGUGUGAGGCGUCGGGUUGUACGCGGUGAGUCAAAGGCAUAAGGUUGCUGUCUGGAUUUGGGAACUUGAGGGCACUUCUGUGCUUGUUUGAAGCAGUUAUCACCGGUGAUGAUAGAUAAGCUUAGUUUGGGAACUCCUACUCGCAAUGCAAUUUGAAAUGCGUUGUUCAAACCCCACGUGUUCAGGCACCUAAUACCAGCUUCUGGAUCCUGCUUGCGCCAAAUCUGUAUCUUAAACCUUGGCUCUUCCAAUUCUUGAAGAUGAGUACUUCCGAAUGCUGAGAGGUGGUAGCGUUAGGAAGAUGAGAUGUACCCCAGCAUAUUUUUCAUGUGGUAGCUUACUAUGUCCAUUUUUACUAGAACCUCGUGAAAUAGAAAAGUGUUCUCAUUUCUGUUCAAGCAGAAACUAAAGCACAGAAAUAACCAUCUUACCCAUUCAGUUUGCUGUUCUUCUAUUGCUGUAGUUUCUCUAGACAUCUGACCGGUGUUAUGAAGACAGGACUGUUGUGUUUGUGUCUUGCAGAAUCUACUAGAUAAUACUUGUAGCAAUACUCUUGGGAAAUGCUUUGUUUCAAGUAGUGGGAAAACAAGUAAAUAUUAAAUUUUAAUUAAUCUACUGCUUUCUUCUCUAGGAAACAAAGACCAGAAAACAUUAAUUUAGGUUGACUGAAAACGCGGGCUGAACGGUUUCUGCUUAGCAGGGAGACACCUUAACCAAAGAUUAAUAGUGUUGGAGAUUCCCAUGUGAGUAUCGACUCCACUGCAAUUUAAUUUGAGCUGGAAAUGAUUUGGAUCCCACUGAACUGGAUGAGGGCACUGAACUUGAAGUGCCCUGCAUGUUGUGAAGAAGUCGGUCCCGGUUUCCAGAUGAGCUGGAAGAAAAAGGUGCUUUCAAGAAAUAGCCACAUAGAUCACCUCUGGGCUGUGUGUGAGCUUGCUGUGACAAGCUAGUUUGCAUUUUGGUAGGAGGCUGUGGGUGCCAUUUGCCCUCUUACUCCUAGUGUAUUUCACAGGGUAGAGCACAAGCCAAGACUAAGCAACCUACUUUCAUCUGAUGAGAUCUGCUUGCAGUUUCUCACAUUGCUAUAACAUCUUUUUAACUGCUUCACAAAAUCUUACUUGAAACAUUUUAUAAAUAUGCAAGAAAAUCAGUAGGCUCUUUUUUUUCUUUCAAAAAUAAGACGUGAACUUGAUAAGAUCCCUUUAGAAAAUGCAUAAAUCUGUUCUCAAGAACUGCUUUUCAUCUGAAAUUUCCUCUCAAUAUUUUCAGUGUUAAAUUUUAGAAGCAUGCUGGUUUUGUCAGAGUAAAACAAGGAUUCUGAAACGUUUUGCUUUUAUGCCAUUGUCCUAAAAGCUCACACAUGGGGGGGCAGAAUCUUUGUUUUUUCCUCCACCCACCUCUGUGUUUUACUGCAUUUGGACACAGUACAGAAUCCUGCAGGUGUGUCUUGUGAGCUACCAGGCAGCAGUCCUUACUUGUACACUGGGGGGGUUUCUUGGUGUGUUUUUCACUUCUUUCUGAAGGUGUGUUUUCAGCCUGCGUGUUAUUCUGUUGCCAAGAGGACUUAAUGUCAUGAAGAGUUUUCCUGGUAGUCGUCUUCUAACUCCAGGUUCCAAAUUUUGCUCCUCUUUUGCUGCAAAAGGGUUGGAAGUGGGGAGGGAGGCAGGAGGGGAUUGUUGUUGUUUUCAGCUUUAGGAUUUCAGUUUCUUUUUGAUAAGAAUUUGGAGAGCUGAAGAUGAUCACCUUGAAAUGUUUCUUCUGGAGCAUUCUCUCAGAUGCCUUUCAUAACCUCAGAAAACAGCCUAACUGGUCCAAGUAUUCCUGAGCCUGAUCAAAUCCAGGCUCUGCAUCUCGCUGCUUGAGGAAGGCAUCUGCUCUGCUAGUCUCAGAAACAGUGAGAUUCUUUGCAGCUGACAUGCAGGUUACUCCCUACAAUGCCUGAAAGAGAGAAGUAUGAGUCACCUUCUGCUGGGGUAAUGCUGCGUUCCACAACUGAAAUCCCAGCAGUGAUUUGGAAUGAAUUCUUCCAUUGCUUUUGCUGGCAUGUUGUUAAGUUUUGAGGGGGAGACGGGAUCAGUUGGUACCACUUAAACCUCUUCCAUCUGCUUCUUUCAACAGAUAACUUCCUUGCUAUACAGCAGGGGAUUUGGGGGCAAGGAUGAGGGUGGCUUCAUUAUUGUACUGAAUGUGCAGGAGAUUGUCCAAACCAGAAUGGAUACAGUGAUUCCUGAUGUUGAUUUUACUGAAUAUGUUAUGCACUGGAGACAAUGUGUUUUUAUAUCUUCUCCAGUUUCAGUCUUCCCUUUUCUGGCCCUAUGGACGGGGAGGAACUUACAUGAGAAGUGGGUAUUGCAAAAGAACUUGGUGUCGUUGUGUGCUGGUUCUUUAGGAACCUGCUGUACACAGAAGUGUGUGGUCUUGUUGGAGCAAACACCCAUCUCUUUACUUACUUUUCCGAGGGAGGCCCUCUCACUAAUUAGAAGACAGAGGUUCAAACAGUAUGGGAGGAAGAUGGGAACCCAUAUACCAUCAUGGAGCAACAGUUGACCUUUAUCUGAAAUGCUGUGGUCCUUGGAUAAGAGGAGUCCUUUGGUAUCUUGUUUGGUGUUCAGAGUAUUGGUUUUGUGAUUUUUACAGUGACGUUUUAAUAUAAAGCGAAUAAACAGUACUGGGAAA